UAUGACCCCAAAAUAUUAAAUUUUAAUCAUAUAAAUGUAAAUAAGCACAUACAUUGAAGUGAGAUACUGAAACACAAAAUAUCUUUCUGUGUUUUCCUUCAAUUUUCUUUAAGAUGAAAUGACAUCCUACAUGUAGCUACAACACAAUCUUUAUAGUAUUGUAUGUCAUGGACUUGAAGUAAUUGACAGUUAUUAUUAAAUUACAAUAGGUAGUAGAUGCUUAUCUGGCCUUCCUUGUUCAGGCUGAAAUAGAAAAGGGGAACAAAAUUACAAUGUAUCCUUCCCAAACCAUGACUGCCAUUGUGGAUGGCUCUUUUACCCUUAAAGGAUGCAAAAAGAAGAUUGUGGAACCACAGACUGGAAUAAUCUAUUUCUACAAUCCAUUGGUGGAAAGAAGAUCACAGAUUCUUGCUGUUAAAAGAAAUUGGUGUUCCUAUAUGAAUCAAAGGAUGUUAGCUUACAAUGAGGUCAGUCAGAUGCAGUGGCAGGUGGAAACUAAAAUACACUCUAAACAGACAGAUGGUUACAACUGUGGAGUGCAUUGUUUACUGAGUGAUAUCUCAGUGGACAACCAAUUAUAAACAUCACAGCGGCAGACCUUAUAGCUACGAGACAGAAAUAUGCAACAGAUUUGAUGAUGUUUGAAAUAUACCUAACAGAACAUUGUCCAGGAUGUGGUUUUGCAGUAUUAAGAAAAAAUGAGAUCAAAUGUUAAGUUUGCAAAAGAUCGUUUCAUAGGAAAACCCACUGUGUAGGAGAGGACACAGUUGACAAAGACUGUUUUGUUUGCAGACUUUGUGAAAUUAAAUUUUGGGGCUGUGAUUGCUGAUGUGUUAUUACCUUGAGCAAGUUUUCUGAUCAGGUUUAAGUAUGAUCUGAAUAAUGAGCUAUUGGAAAAAUGUGUGCUACAAGAAAUAUGUUUACAUCUACUACGGUGUAUAUUUUAAACACAGAGGUUCUAUAUGAAUCCUCUGGUGUAGAACAGCAUGGCAAAAGAGGCGUUGUUUCGUAUCAACAUCUCAUAUAAAGUUCCCAUAAAGAGAUUAUGGACCUGAUAUGCUUGCCUCGUAAUACAAUCUGUAAGAUAAUGUUAAAACUUAUUGAUAUUUCUUAUGGAUAAUAAUCAUAUAUUUUGCAAGUACUUGUAAACAUGUAUCCUGAGAUUUGAUUGUAAACAAUAGUACACAUAUGGAUGUUACUGAAGUUGAACUGAUGAUGAUGAUUAAAUCAUUGAUAAAGAAUGUGCACCAUUUGAUGUCAAAAUGAUCGACUAUUCAAUAUUAAAAUUUCUUUUAAACAUACUUCUUUAUUGCAAGUGUAAAAGAAUGCUGGCGUUUGGUAUAUGUAAUGGUAGAUAAGGCUUCUAAACUGCAUAAAAUGCUGCAAUCAUUAUGGACCUUUCUGUAUACAAGUAUAGGUUGUUGAAACAUUCUGAAUGAUGGAACAUGUUUUAAUGUUUAUGGAAAGUUAGCAUACCUUCUAUUGAG